rnacentral:rRNA from 1 species
GAUGAACGCUGGCGGCGUGCCUAAUACAUGCAAGUCGAACGAUCAAGCGCGUUGCUUUUUCCUCUGUCUUUAGCAGCGGCCAACUGAUUAACACCACGAUAACCUCCCUCUCCGACUUGCUUGACUUCCGCAAACCGGUGCUACUACCACGUAAUAUAUUGAGCCUCUUGCUUCAUUGGUCAGAGACGGUUUUUCUUUCGCUUAUGGAUGGAUCCGCGCCGCAUUAGCUAGUUGGUGAGGUAAUGGCUUACCAAGGCGACGAUGCGUAGCCGGCCUGAGAGGGUGAUCGGCCACACUGGAAGUGAGACACGGUCGAGAAGACUACGGGAGGAAGCAGUAGGGAAUCUUACGCAAUGGGCGAAAGACGGAUGGAGCAACGACGCGGGAGGGAUGAUGGUAGUCGGAGCGUAGAAAUCUGUUAUUAGGGAAGAAGAAAGGUGGAAGUAACUAUGGGUGGGUUGACGGUAGCUAAUCAGAAAGCGACGGCUAACUACGUG